ensembl:lncRNA
GUACGAGCGCGUGUUCGUGUAACUUUUGGCAGCGGUGGAGUGAGAAGGGGGUUGGCUGACAGGGCUCCCCGCUAGAGGCUUUCAGGUCUCUUUACACUGGCUUCUGAGGACUUUUCAUGUUCUUAUGGAAAAUAUCCCUUUGAAAUCCCUGCGCUGCACAUUUUAAUCUCAUUUGUGGGGAAGAGUGAUGCUGAGACAGGCCUGGGGAGAGCACGAGCGUUUCUCUAGCUCUCGUGCUCCCUUCCUUUUCUUAGCAUAAUUUUUAUUCAUCAGAAGAAUCCCUAGGCUGACAUCGCUGGAGUGAUUUAAUUGAUUUUAAUCAUCCACCUGAGAGAGGGAAUUUGCGCCCUCUGUCCUGGAAGAUAAUGCUGGCGUCUUGGAGGAUAUCUCACUCCUCGUUAAUGCUCUGCCAUCUCCUGUCAUGUUAUGAAAGGAAACUUUUGCAAAUCACAGCUAGGCAUUUGCAUAACUAAUUGCUGGGAUGUGUGCCGUUUCCCCUCACAGUGGAAUUGGAUCGCUUGAUUUUUAAAAAAAACUCUUUGUGGAUACAAUUUAGUGUACAUUUGUUUGAGAUAUAUGUAGCAGCAUCAGAAUGUACUAUAGUGACUUGAGACAUUUGAUUAGGUCAGUGGAACCAAGAUUUGUUCGUUUAACCGGUUAGAAUGGUCUAGUUCAGGAAUCAUCAAAUCUGGACCUCGAGAUCCACUUUCCUGCAGAGUUUAGCUCUAACCCUAAUAAAACACACAUGAGCAAGCUAAUCAGUGUCUUCGAGAUCUUUGGAAAAUCACAGCUGCAGGGGAAAUGACAUCAGCACACGGAGCGCCUGGGGAAAGAGGAGCGGUAGAGCUCAACGGGAGCGUGUUUGAGAGAGAGCCACUCAUCUACAACACUACAGCACCGCAGCUCUGAACACACUCAGACUGCUGGAGAAACACCGAUGGAGAUGUCCUGUCUCUAGUGAAAUAUACUCUACAGCUCAUUCCUGCAGGAUAUACUAGCACCAUUUUCCUGACAUGCUUGAUUUUUCACAUAUAAAGAAAAGUCUAGGUGUCAUUCGUGUCUAUGAGAG